UAUUGUUAACCUAACUCACAAGCAGCAGGUAUUCUCAUUACAAUUGAAUCCAACAGUUUAUAUAAAACCCAUUUAAAUCUAAUGGUCACAAAGACUUCUUUAUAGAUAAAAGAAUUUUCUAUUAUCUACAGUAGUUUUGCCCAACCUGAUUCCUAUUCCAUUCUCAGAUCCUAUAUGUGGGUUUAAGUUUUUCAACCCCCAAUCCUUUUUCAGUUGGGUUAAGAUCAUUCAUACAUGUUAUCUAAAUUCUACAGACUAUAGAAUCAGACUACUGGGCUGCAACUUAGAAGUUAGAAGUAUAGCAGCAUGCCUGUAUACUAGGUUGCCUCCUCUCCUUUGACAUAAUUGGGAGUUGUUAUUUCACUUAUUUGUCUGAAAAGGGAAGAAAGGAUGGUACAAAGACUAAAAUGAAAGUGGAUAUGUAAUUCAAGGACAAACCUUUAGUCAUGACAUCUCAAUUAGGUAAUUCCUCAUUGUACUAGUUUUAAGUAAUACUCUUAGGACACGAUAAUGUUGAAGUGUUUUGUUAAAGAUCUACAGAACCUGUCACCAUUAGCAGUUGUGACAGGUGGUGCACCACAUGCUGGAAAACUGGACUGAUUCAAAAAUGUUGCAAAUCAAGAUGCAGAAUCGCUUACUUUUUGGAAUGGAGGGUGGAUUCAUCAAUGUCGCUUCAGUCAAUGAGAUGAUAAAAGCUGCAUAUGUAGUUUUAUUUGCAUUAAUAACUGCAGGUCUGUAGCUGAAUUGGACAAAUGAAUAACUACUAUCUCAAUUUUUGAAUAAAAAAUGAAAAAUGGAGCUACAGACUAAUGUAACUUGCAAGUUUCUUCUGUCAUAGUACGUGCUUUAUUACUCGUUGGCUUGUGCGCAUGGCAUUGCCUGCAUGAGCAAACAAAUGACUGAAAUAUUUUCUGGCCAAACGACAAAUUGGAAUUAGAUUGCUCCCUGUUUGCUUUAUUUCUUUCAGUAGGAUUUGGGUUUUCCGAGACUUUGAUGCUGUGAGUGUUGCCAUCAGUUGAUCUCUUCUUUUUGCUACGAGUUGCACCUAUGGAGCCAGGCUUAUGAUUCACCUGCUUGAAUCGAUAAAGAAAUGCCUCUAGUUGCAUCUGUCUGCUAGAUAUUGAAAUUUCAGCUGGGCAACUAUUGUUUGAACUAUGAGCCGCUAAUUUUGGUGUAAUGUGACUGAACUCAAACUCCUGGUUUUGCUUCUUUAUUUUGAUGAUGUUGUCUCUAGGAGGGGACCAUGAUUGGAGAUCUUGAACAGAUAGGAGGUCAGCAAAGGAGAGUGAUUCGAAUGAUGAACAGAUAUCAGUGGCAACAUCCAAAGAGAUCUUGUCUUGCAGAAUUGCUUGUACUUAACCUAGGACUGAUACUGUCCGAUGAGGGGAAUAUCAAAAGCAUGAAAAGACUUCAGGAUCCCUUGUUCGUCUUUUGUGACCUACUGGUCGUAGGAUGUGACAGAAUCUUUCACCUGUGGAAGAUAGCAAAGUCAUUAUCAUUGAUGAUUCCAAAACGCUAAAGAUUAUUAAUCAGUGAUUUGUGUUGAUGGAAAUUCCAAAGGAGGCGGCUUUUUAUAGUAUAGUAUCUGUUAAUCCAUCAUUGUCAAUGGAAGUCUACAGUCUCAUGUUCUAUGGUAUAACUAUUUGCCGGAUACGAACCUUUUUUGAGAACGAACAUGGUGGUUCGAACUUCCAACUGACUAGAUUUUUCUUGGUUCAAAAGAUCUCCCGAAGGUGGGCCUUGUUUCCAAUCUAACUCGUAAUGUAAUUGCAAAGCAGAACUGGACAUACCGAGUUUCCUUCUUCAGUAUAAUAUAUUAUUCCCCACCCAUCGAAUAGACAGUACAGAAAUAAAUAUGGCAGCCCAAGUUAUGUUUGCGAGGAAAAAGAGCAACAAUAUUAAUUCAGUGACUCGUGUAAUUAAAUAGAAAAAUCUUGAGUUUAUUUUUAUAUCUAAGAAAGAUUAUAUCUUUGAUGUCAAUUAAUUAAUUAGUUUAAGUUUUGUAUUUUUUCCGUUAUUCUUUUUUGCUAAAAAUAUAUUAAAGACGUGGCAUUUUUAUCACUAGGCCACUGGCCUGAUUACAAUGAAUCUAAUUAAGCUGAUGGAUAUGAAUAUGAAUUGCAGUUUUGAGAAAAAUAAUUUGGUUAACUGAUAAGAUUAGUUACCAUGUAUGAAGAACUAGAAUUAAUAAGAGGUGAGACUAGGCUAAAUAAAAGAAUUGAUUUCCACUGAUGCGUGCCUUUAUGCUCCGUUUGGGAAAAGGAAGGGAAUAAAAUAAUGGGAGAAAGA